rnacentral:rRNA from 1 species
GAUGAACGCUGGCGGCGUGCCUAAUACAUGCAAGUCGAGCGAACGGACGAGAAGCUUGCUGCUCUGAUGUUAGCGGCGGACGGGUGAUUAACACGUGGAUAACCCACCUAUAAGACUGGGAUAACUUCGGGAAACCUUAUCUAAUACCGGAUAAUAUUUUGAACCGCAUGGUUCAAAAGUGAAAGACGGUCUUGCUGUCACUUAUAGAUGGAUCCGCGCUGCAUUAGCUAGUUGGUAAGGUAACGGCUUACCAAGGCAACGAUGCAUAGCCGACCUGAGAGGGUGACCGGCCACACUGGAACUGAGACACGGUCCAGACUCCUACGGGAGGCAGCAGUAGGGAAUCUUGCGCAAUGGGCGAAAGCCUGACGGAGCAACGCCGCGUGAGUGAUGAAGGCCUUCGGAUCGUAAAACGCUGUUAUUAGGGAAGAACAUAUGUGUAAGUAUCUGUGGACGUCUUGACGGUACCGAAUCAGAAAGCAACGGCUAACUACGUG